UACGUAGGGGGCAAGCGUUAUCCGGAUUUACUGGGUGUAAAGGGGGCGCAGACGGCAGCGCAAGCCAGGAGUGAAAGCCCGGGGCCCAACCCCGGGACUGCUCUUGGAACUGCGCGGCUGGAGUGCAGGAGGGGCAGGCGGAAUUCCUGGUGUAGCGGUGAAAUGCUUAGAUAUCAGGAGGAACACCGGUGGCGAAGGCGGCCUGCUGGACUGCGACUGACGUUGAGGCCCGAAAGCGUGGGGAGCAAACAGG
rnacentral:rRNA from 1 species